rnacentral:rRNA from 1 species
UACGGAGGGUGCGAACGUUAAUCGGAAUCACUGGGCGUAAAGUGCGCGUAGGCGGUUCGUUAAGUGGGAUGUGAAAUCCCCGGGCUUAACCUGGGAAUUGCAUUUCAAACUGGCCGACUAGAGUACGGUAGAGGGAGGUAGAAUUUCCUGUGUAGCGGUGAAAUGCGUAGAUAUAGGAAGGAAUACCAGUGGCGAAGGCGGCCUCCUGGAUCGAUACUGACGCUGAGGCGCGAAAGCCAGGGGAGCGAACGGG